rnacentral:rRNA from 1 species
AACGAACGCUGGCGGCAGGCUUAACACAUGCAAGUCGAACGCCCCCUUCGGGGGGAGUGGCAGACGGGUGAGUAACGCGUGGGAACCUACCUAUCAGUACGGAACAACUCAGGGAAACUUGUGCUAAUACCGUAUACGUCCUUCGGAGAAAGAUUUAUCGCUGAUAGAUGGGCCCGCGUUAGAUUAGCUAGUUGGUGAGGUAAUGGCUCACCAAGGCGACGAUCUAUAGCUGGUCUGAGAGGAUGAUCAGCCACACUGGAACUGAGACACGGCCCAGACUCCUACGGGAGGCAGCAGUGGGGAAUUUUCCGCAAUGGGCGAAAGCCUGACGGAGCAAGACCGCGUGGGGAGGAAGGUUUUUGGAUCGUAAACCCCUUUUGUCAAGGAGAAGCUCUGACGGUACUUGACGAAUAAG